AACGAACGCUGGCGGCAGGCCUAAAACAUGCAAGUCGAACGAACCUUCGGGUGAGUGGCGCACGGGUGCGUAACGCGUGGGAAUAUGCCCUUGAGUACGGAAUAACUCACCGAAAGGUGCGCUAAUACCGUAUAAUGACUCCGGUCCAAAGAUUUAUCGCUCAAGGAUUAGCCCGCGUCUGAUUAGGUAGUUGGUGUGGUAAAGGCGCACCAAGCCGACGAUCAGUAGGGGGUUUGAGAGGAUGAUCCCCCACACUGGAACUGAGACACGGUCCAGACUCCUACGGGAGGCAGCAGUUAGGAAUAUUGGACAAUGGGCGCAAGCCUGAUCCAGCCAUGCCGCGUGAGUGACGACGGCCUUAGGGUUGUAAAGCUCUUUCAAUGGCGAAGAUAAUGACGGUAACCAUAGAAGAAGCCCCGGCUAAAUUCG
rnacentral:rRNA from 1 species